GACCCGGUAGCUCAGCCGGUAGAGCAUCGGACUUUUAAUCCGCAGGUCGUGGGUUCGAUCCCCACCCGGGUCA
rnacentral:tRNA from 1 species